UCCUUCUUCCUUCCUCCUCCUUCCUUCCUUCUUCCUUCCUUUCUUUUUCUUUCCUUCUUUCUUUCCUUCUUUCUUAUUUUUUAAUUCAUUUAUUUAUUUAUUACUUAGUUACUGAACUCUGAGACCAAUUCAUCUGGAAUGGACAAUAGUUCACUUGCAGAGUACCCUCUCAAGGUUACCUUUACCAUCCUACUAUUUGUCAUGGGAGAGUGGCUCAGGACCUUGUUAUGUUAUCCUGCCCACCUUCUGUGAAAAGCUUUCAUUACACAGAUGAUAUAAUACUAACCUCUAAGUGUCUCAUGGACUCAGAAAAACAUCUGAAAGUUAUACAAGGGCAACCAAAAGAGUGAUGUUUAAAAUCAGUUUGCACACAUUACUAGGAUCAGGAAUAGCAGCUGUAAAAUAUUUGGGUGUGUUAUGGUUUGGAAUGAGCCAUAUGAUACCUGACAACAUUAUUAAGCAAAGCCUACAAUUGUCUGCACCUAUAUGAACACAAAACAAUUGCAGGUUUUUGAGAGAUUCUGGGCCACCAGUUCAUUUUCAUACCCAGCUUGCUGAAGUGUCUUGCCCUUUAUAAAACUUAAUUUAGAAAGAAAGAAAGAAAGAAAGAAAGAAAGAAAGAAAGAAAGAAAGAAAGAAAGAAAGAAAGAAAGAAAGAAAGAAAGAAAGAAAGAAAAGAAAAUCCACAUGGGAUUCGGACCAAAAUGCUAAGCACUGAUGCCAUGUGAUCAGCCAGUUCAUCCCCCUGGACCAGGGUGGCCUGUACCUCCUUGAACUGAAGCAAUGGCAUCAAGAAGAUUUACUCAAGUGGGUUGAAGAGCAACUGGCAGGAGAAAAAUUGGAGAUAACAAGGGCCCAUGAGUGUUGCUAUACUUCUGAGGAAAGGCAACAGAUCUGAAUUGCUCCCUCAGUGAAGUGUUGAAUUUUCUAUCCGAGAGGUGAAGUGAUGUAUAGGUCAAGCCUUCCUCCUCAGAUAUAAUGAACACACAGUGCUCGUAUUAAGCAAUUAAACAAUUGAAGGAGAUUUCUUCCAGUGGAAUUUACAUCCCACUGGUACUUUGUGCUACUGGCAGAGAAUAAUGUCCAUCUUGGGUUUAAUUCCCCCACUUCUCCAGUUAGGAACUUGGUGAUGGAUGUUUUACAAUGUACUGAUGAUUCUUGAGUAUUAGCUAGGUGAUCUACCACAAGAAACUACCAAAAAGAAACAUUGUAUACACAGAUGCCAUGUGAUCAAGUGCCUCAUUCUCCUGUAGCUAUGCCUUCCCUGCCAUAAUGGACUGUGAGCCAAAAUAAACCCUUCCUUCCUUAAGUCACCUUUGUCACAGCAUAUUUCACAGCAACAGGAAUGAGAAAACAACUAAGACAUCGAUCCAAUCUGAAUGUUCAAAAAAUUAUGGCUGGACAAAUGGCUUUGCCACCCUCAUGGAGAACCCAAGUUUACUUCCCAGGACCCACAACCAGACAGCUCCCAAACUGCCUGUUACUCCAGUUUCAGAAUGCAGUGGCCUCCGAGCACAUUCACAUUCUCUUAUGCAUAGUCACACAUAGACUAAGUAAUUUUUUUAAUUCAAAUGUUUUUUAAAAACAAAAUUAAACUUCAAUUUGAAAGCAUCCUGACCUAUAAGGCAACUUCAGAGUUGAUUGACUCAGGAUACAAGGACCCAUAUUUCUUCUAAUUCUUGACAUCCCCUAGUGUUUGCUUUGGUGAAAUCACCAUGCCAGGAUAACUGCUGCCAUCCCAAAUAUUGCACACAGACAUCACAAUGUCCAAAGAGGGGAAGGAGCAGCCCUCACCAUCUCUUUUUGUCAGUAAUGAAGCCUGUCCCUCGAACCUUAGGGUACUUCUUUUAUCUUGCUGGACAGAACUGUGUUAAGUCACAUUUCCAAAACAGUUCCUAGUAAGGGAAUGUGCUUAAGGGUAGAUUUAGACUAAUUAGAAUACACUCUGGAGCAGAGGACCUUCUAGCAAGGCUGAAGAGUGGAAUGGCUUCUGGUGGUUAGGAGUGUUUUUUAAAAAUCACAAAGACCUGGUGUUCUG